GCUCUCUUACUGGCUAACCGUUUAACCAAUAUAAUUAGAGUAGGUUGAACAAAUACUUUUUGAAACAAUAUUUACAUCCCUAGCUCCUCAGAUAGGAACUACCCCUGGUAGAGGGACUAUCCUAGCUGUUACUGGCCUGCUCACUUGCUAGCAGCUAGCCUUUGGUCAGGUAUUGGUUCUACUCAGUAAGCUUAUUUAGCCUGCUGCAGCAUCCCUUUAAAGUAACAGGAGCCUCUGGCUCCCUGUUAUACCACCACCUAACCCACAUGCCUCCUCCCUCCAGCUCCACAGAAAAUAUGAAGUAUUGCUUGGAGACAAAGCACAUGGCAUAUAGCACUGAUUUGAUCUGCAGGGUGGGGCCUUGAAUGGAGUGAAAUGGAGAGAGGCGUCAAUUUGAUUCACCUGUGGAACCAGUGAGAGAGUAUAAGCAUUUCAUCCUACAGGAGAAAUUAAUGGAUCUAUUACCUUUUCCUUCCUUAUUCUGUUCUUGCCAUUUUUCCAUUGCUGCACUAGUCCUCAACUGGUUAGGAUAUGACAGAAAUGGAAAGAGACUGGCACUGAGCAGAUACAUGGGAAGUUUAGGAGGAAAGCAAAGGAUGGAGAUAGCAAAAAGAGGAGUGAAUGAUAUUAAGGAUACAUAGAAGGAAGCCCUGGUAAAUAUGACAUUCUAGCCUGCAAGUAUGUGCUUUUGAGGCCAAAGUUCUUUGGAUAAAUCUGAUAUCUUUCAUUAGACCACCUCAAAUAGCUGAAAAAAUUCUUCUUAGUAAGCUUUUGGACACAAACACCCUUUGUCAGGCUGAGGAAGCAGAUACUCGAUGCAUUUGUGGACCUAGCCAUCUGAAUUGACUUCUGCUUUUAGGGAUGCAGAGAUAAAGAGAAAGAUGCUCUGCCCCCUCCAGGGCUUCACCCUGCUAUGGUUGCUUUCAACCCCAUGUCAGUGGGUGGGGAGGAGGUGGGGCCUCUGGCACCCCAUACCACAAGAACAGGAACACUGCCAGCAGCAGGAGCAGUGGUGGGACCCCAGGACAUGAAUGCACCACAUACCCCCAGAGAGGAGUGUCAUGGCGGGGUCCUCACGGAGGGCCGUGAUCUCCUUGAGGUUCCCUCACUCUGUGUCAGGCCGGCCCAAGACACCCUCUAACUCUCGCCCGCCACGUCUUGUUGGAAAUAUAUUAGGGAGGCUGCCUAUGACUCCCUGGGCACGGCUACUCGGGACCUCUGUCCCCGCGGUUCUUCCGGACCCCCUGGGGGUCUCCCGAUACGGUGGGUGUUCUUCGGACACCCUAGCCUUAUGGGCUAUGCAUGGCUCCUACCUCCCCUGAUACCACACCCCAAGCCUCGCAGAUGUAAUGGACGUUGUCCGGUCUGUCUCUCUCGUGCCCAGCCCCCCGCUGGGCCUCCCCUGAUGGUACGGUCCCACUCAGGGACUCCCUAGCGGGCCCCGGUCCUAUGGGCCAACCGCACGGCCACCCUCUCUGACCCUGGCUCACCGCACUGCUACUCCCUGUCUUCUCGGGGCAACCGCAGCACCCUGCCUCAGUCUGAGGGGUGUUGCCGCACUAGCCUGCGGCCGGACUCACUAUGCCCAUCUCGGGCUUCUCAGUAUGGCCCCGCUCUCUAGGGCUGCUCAGUAUGGCGCUCCCCCUUCUCUGGGGCUCGCCGUGCCCACACUGGGCUACUCAAUAACGUACAAUGGCGCUCCCCCUCUUUGGGGUUCACCAUGCCCACACUGGGCUACUCGAUAAUAUUGCCCCUUUCCUGGGGCCAGGGUCUAUGUUCCCCCCACACGCACUCCGGGGUCUAGGUCCCCGUCCGCAACCUACGGGUUGCACCCGCGACCCACUGGCCGCGCUCCUCGCCGCCAGUUGCUCACACACUGGCGUGCGAGCUGCGCCUUCGCUGGCGCUAUGAAGAUAAUGCGCCCUCUUGGUGCUAGGGCACCCCACACUCUCUGGGGUCCUUGUGAUUGAGGCCUCCUCCAACCCCUACAGCCUCACCCAAGCCUCCGGUUGUAAUAAUACAAACACAAAGCAAAACCACAAGCCCCUAGGCUGUAACAUAACCACAAGCCGCAUGGCCAUAACUCAUUAUCAUAGCUCAAGCCUCCAGGGCUAUCAUGAGCUGUACUUGCGACUCAGGCUCCCUUCCACAUCCUCACUCCCAGAGCUCCUGCCUCCCAGGCUGCUGGCAGAGAACUGCCAGCCUGGCUUCGGCUCUGGGCUUUAUAAGGGCCAGGCCCUGCCCCCUACAGGCAGCUGGCUCCCCUUAGUUGCUCCGGCAACCCACAGCUGUGCUCACUUGGUUCUGCCAGGGCUCUCUCCCUGGCAGUUUCUCCUCUCUUAGGAGUAGGCACUAAGGUGCCCUGCGACAAGGAGGUCAAGGUAAAACGGUGAUCCUGGGCCUGGUGAAGGGAACUGGCUCAGGGUUGUCCAAAGUUCCCAAGACAUCCACUGCCCAUGAAGUUUGUGGCAAACUCAGCCCAUAGAACCCCCAACUACUGUUAUCUGCCUGUAUCUGAGUCCUAGAACAAAACUUGUUCCCCAUACUGACUACCCUGCUGGACUCUGGAACCUCUAGUCAUUUCAUACAUGAGGCUGUGGUGCAAAGUCUACAAAUCCUGCUAACACAGUGACACAAACCUGAAGCAAUAGAGACCGUAGGUUUUGAUGCAAAGAGACUGGAAGCAAAACAAAAUGAAACACAGUAGUGCUUCUAAAGUAUCAAGUAUUGGCUGCUACAUCAUGUAUGACAGAGGACGCCAUAAAACAGUGGUUUUAAUCCAGUAUUGAAAGUGUUAAGAGCCUGAUUUUGCAAACCGAACCUAAUUAGUUGGACUACUUCUGUGAGCAAGGACUAUGUAACAGCUGCAUGUAUUGCUCCCAGCGUGGGAGGGCCCGGGGAGGUGUAGCAGACCACCAGAGAAGUUCAGCCAAAUGCCCAGUAAGUGUGGGAAACAGCCAGUCCUUACCUGCAGGUGCGGAGCUGACAGAAGUGGCACGGUGAGCAGCACUGCUGUGGUGAUUUAUAAGCACCUGUGGCUGUGUGGGCACUCAGGGCAUGAUGCCACAGACAUAGGUGGAGGAAGAAAAAAUUAUUUGUGGGGGGACUGAGUGUGUGCGUGCCUGCUAUUUGAGACUUGCUGUUUGAGGGAGCCAAGAGAUCCAACAUUAAGUGUAAUGAAGACCAUCUUCUUUUAGAUCAGCUGAACUAUACCAGAACCCAAGCAGGACUAGAAAACUGGUAGUGUACUACCCAACUUCCUGAAGCAAUAUGCUCAGUUUUAUCUAUGGUGAUGCUCAAUUUCUGGUGGAAUCAGGGUCCCUCUCCCUUGCUGAUGUGAUUGAAUAACACUUGUUUUCUUAUAAUGCAUUUCCUAGUUACAGUGAACUAAUCAUUCAUUAAAUUGUAUCUUACAGUGAGUCUGUUAGCAUAUGUAUGGAGCAACAGAGCCAAUAUCUUGAAACUGUUUCUUAACUGGAAGUGGGAAAGUAGUAUACAGUGCAUUAAUGCAGAUUAGGAAUGUACUAAUGGCUGGAAGCUACAACACAGAGUUAGGAAUGAAAUGAAACAUACUGAAAUAUAAAGAUGAUUUAAAAGAGCACAUCAAAUUAUAUAGCCUCUUUAUGAUGUAUUUUAUGUCUACACUAUAUUUUUCAUUGUACACAUCACAGUCUAAUCCAGAUAUUUCUGAAACUCAUUUGUACAAAUGUCCUUCUGGCCUUGGUAGCAGCAUUUUACUUUGUUUGAAGAGUAUCUUCCUUAAAAGAGUAUUUCCAUGGACUUCACUGGGACUGCUUAUGUAAGUAAAGUUCUACUUGGUAUACGGUAAGUAAAGAUAGUAGAAACCAGUGCUAGAAACUUAUUUUGUAUGUUGUUUUUCAUUUUAAAAUCUUGCUGGAGUUUUUUGUUUCCUGAAUGUCUCCUAGUUUAUGGACCGUGCGCAGUAUGGACAAUGAUCUGACAAUAAGGUCUGACCCAGUAUGGCACUUCUUACAUUUUAAUAUCUAUUAGAAAAAUCUCAUAAGUGAUUUUUUCUUCUAACAAUUUGAAAUUUUCUUUUAGCUGGCAUUGAAAUCUCUCCAUUUUUCAUAAGAACAUACCUGAUUUUAAUAUUUUUCCUCAGCAAAUAGAUUCUUGAGACGUGGCAUCAUCUUCACUGCCCUUCCCUGCACUCUAAGACCUAAUUGUUUAUUGUCAGUUGUUAGAUCCAGACAAGCUACACUAGAGAGUUACAGGCAAAAGUGGCUCUACACCACUAAUGCACUUGCUUUAGUCCUGGGGUUCAUGGUUCUGCCUCAGUGCUACUCCAAAUUACAUUUGUUUGUGGCAGCUGUCAGGGGCCAGUGUAGUAGCCAAGAAUAACCAGAAUAUAGAACUUCUCUACCCUCAGCCUUUUCCCUCAGCAAGUCCAUUAUGCUGAAGGGUGGCAAAGUAAGAAUGAUACAGAGCUGUGAUAGCUCAUUUAAUAAAAUUAAAUUAAAUAAUUCAUUUGACUCAGAACAUUCUGAUCUCAGACACUUAAACUAUCAAAGAUUAACCUUCCCAUGAUGUGGAAAACCCAGGUACAAGUUGCCUCAGAUGCUACCCCACAUAUGUCAUCCACCAGGGCAGUGUCCUCCUAACCACCACACUGUAAGAUAUCUCACGUGAGGAUACGCUUGGUCUUUCUUGUUAAUACUAUUCCAUUUUCCAAAGACCACUAACAUUUUCUUUCAGUUGAAAGGAGAAGAAAAAUGGGAAUGGCUUUAUAGUUUGAUGGUUAGUGUAACACCUGGGAGGCAAGACACCUGGAUUCUAGGUGCUGUAUUCCAUGUAUAAUAGAAUAAUGUCAAGAGGAGAGAGAGACUGGAGGACCCUUCCCCAGUCUACAGCUUGGUGGUUAGGCUAGUGUCUUGAGAGGUGUUGAUUCAAAUCCCCUCAGGCAACUUUAGCGCCUCCUGAUUGGAUGCUUUAAUAACCACUGAGCUAUUAAUUAACAGGGAUUUUCCUGAAACUUCAUUAUUGGCUUUGGGGAGUACGGUGGAGCUGAGCUGACUUCACAUCCAGCUGCUCACCACCCCUCCCACCCCCCGCUGCCGUGUCUACACAGGCUAAUUUGCCCCGGGCCCCACACCCUGCUAUGGUCGUCUCUGGCCAACACCAUCUGUUUUAGGGAUGUGAUAUAAGGGAGGAUCCAAAACUGCCACCAGUGUACCUGAUCUUAGGCUGUCUGAAGGAAUGGAGAUCUGGCUUAACUUUGGAUAAAAGCUUAGCAUAGCUGAGUUGGCUUAUUCUUCCAGCUGGAUUUUAACAAGUGACUAGAAGCUGUACAUUUAUAUUAGAAUACAGUUGCUUCAGCAUAUUUGCAGUGGAGAAUUAUACUACCAUACCAUGCUUGUCAUAUUGCCUAUGUAGACAAAUCUGAAAGGAAUAACAUCAUUAAUUCUUUUGUAUUUUAUCACUUAGUGAAUACAUGUGGAAUUUCUUCGCCCUUUUUUACUACUACUCUGCACUCAUGUGACAGUUUCAGUGACUUUUCCAUAAUUACUCUCAAUCCUUUUCCUCAUUGUCUAGUGGAUGAUUGCAUUAUUUAGGACAUAUUCCCUAUUCCUUGCUCCCACACUAAAUUAUUUUACAUUUGUUUACCCUGUCCUGAUUUGGACAUCUGAUGGAUCAACCACCUGAAUGACCCAAAUCUUUUUGAACCUCAUUUCAUUGUUCUCCUGUGUUUGCUUUCCCCCUAAACUUAGUAUGAGGAGACUUAAAGAGCUUGUAACCAUUUAAUGGAGUCAUAAAUGAACACUACACUUUACUUAGGCAAAUGAAUGAAAGAAAUUAGAAGAAAGUAAAGAAAACAAGCAUUGAUUAAUAGUGCCUAAAAUUUGUUACCAAAAUGUUCAGAGGUAUUUAUUCAUUAGUAAUAGUGAUUAAAUUUAACUAAAGUAAUAAAUAAUACCAUAACUUGCUUAGUGUCCUUCAUAAAAUUCUGAAAUUCAUUUAAAGUUCUAGUAGUAGAUCCCAGUCCAAAAAUCUCAUGUGCAGUCUGCAGUCUCAGAAGUACUGCAUUUUGGGACUUCCAUUUUCAGGCUAAGAGCACCCUCAGGCUUACCAUUGGAUACACAAGCAGCAAAGCAUUUUUUUUCCCCUGGCAAUUUCCUAAUGUGUUCCUUAACUGAACAAAGGUUGGGGCCUGGUUGCCUGAGGAAAACCACAUAAUUGAAGAGGAUGUCUGGUGCAGACAGCACAAUGCACCAUUCCCAAAGCAGGAAGCAGUGACAGCAUUUUAAACCCUAUGCAAAGGGGAAAAUGCUAAUUCAGGUUUUCAAGAAACAAAUUAUCCCUGGGAAUGACUAUUUCAAUCAAGACAGAGUAGUGCAUUUUGUUGGUUUUUAGCUUUAUAUUUGUUUUUAUGUUUUUUUUAAAAGAAGUUAGGUCUGCAGGGUGGGGGAGAUUGGGUGAUUGGGGACAUCUAGCAGGGGGCUUGGAGAAAUCUGGGGGAACUAGUGAAGUAUGUGGGAGGUUGCUGGGGUCUGGGAGGCUUUGGUGGGAUCAAGAAGGCUAGUGAGAUCCAUGAAAGAGUUUGGGAGGAUGGGGAGGCUGUCUCCUUCCCCAGGACCAGAGGCUAUUUUUAGUCCGCCAACUGCCCCUCCAAUGAACACCCCCAGCAAAUCAAACCCCAUAAUGCCACCCACCCUUCCCUCCACCACAACUUAGUUUGAUUGGCUCCUUACACGAAAAGCAGCUUGCAGACUUGGGUGUUCGUCAAGGUCAGGAGGAAGGAAGGGGUAUGGGGAGGUAAAAGUAGCUUGGUGCCAUAGAGGGGACAGGUAGAAAAAGUACAGCCCUGGGGCUGGCUGCACAGAGAACUGUACAGAAGUCCAGUUAGGUCAAUCUCAAUGGACCCAUUCUAAAUUAGAAUACCUGAGAGGUAGGGUUAACUUAGAUUGGGUUGGGCAUUUUUAGAUGGAUCUAAACUUCUGUACAGUUCACUCUUAAAUCCCGAGUUAGAUCAAUUUAGGUGUAAUGUCCACACUUGGGUGAUCUAAGUUAGAUUGGAUGGCCAUUUUUAAUGUGAUCUAACCCCUCCCCUAACCCUGAACAUCUGUAUCUAGGUUGUCCAAUACUCCCUGUAACAGGGGACUGGCUCCAGCCCCUGUUCCGAGCAUUAAAAGCUGGUAGGACAGGGUUGGGAAACAAACUUACCCCAGGAAAUCCAGCAGGGUUGCAUGGCUGUUGGAGCUGCUGGGGAAAGGGUCCGGAGCGACCUGCAGAAAGGGAGCAGGAUCCCAGCCACACACGGUCAAGUUUGUGGGGAGUGAGCCCUUGUUGGACCCCUGGAGUUCCAAUGGAGCAGAAGACGAGAGCUGGAAUACAGAUAUUCCCCAGAGAGGGGGACAUACAGCUGGUUCAGAGAGCUGUGCAGUCUGAGUGGAGACGUGGAGCUGGAACACUGUGGCUGGACCCAGUAAACCAGGAGAGUCAGGACGGGGCUGGGGAGAUUGUGACAGAGAGAAGAGAAGUGGAACUGAUCCAUCGGUUCAGGGAACUGACAAACCAGUGGUGCUUCAAAGGAUUUGAUGAAUCAAUUGCUACUGACUCUGAAAUACUGAUGAAUUGACUUUUAUUUAUAUUAAGAAUUUGAUUAAUUAUUUAUCAAUUAGAUGAAGAAUGGAUGGACUCUGUUGAUUGACUGAGGAUGGGGAUAAUUAAUUGAUCUUCUGUAAGGAGGAGAGACUGAUGGAUUCAUUGAGGAUUACUUGGAAGAAGGAAACGAAGGAAGGCAGCUAGCAUUGCAAAAUUGAUUAGUUGAUGGUUGAGAAUCCUGAAUAGAUUAAUGAAGUUAUUUGUAUUGGGAAGGACUGAUGGUUUACCUUUUCCAGCCCUGAGGGGAGAAUUAGCUUGGGAGUGCUUUAUUCAGUAUUUGACUGAAUUGAUUAUUGAGCUUCCUGGAGAGUCAGGAGACUGAGUCAAUUACUAUAGGACAUGGAACUCCAAGUUUUAUUUAUAUGAUGAGCCCCAGUGCCCUUUCAAGCAAAUAGGACUAACGAAUUUAGGUGUGAUCCCUUCCCGGAUUGCACAUUUUGAUUGAAAGCAUAUAAAGAAUUGGAUAAGAGAUGAAGUAUUGCAUAAUGCAUGAACUGUGUCUGUCCCGGACAGUGACACGCCGAGUGGUGGUUGCUUUCUGAGUGGGUCUGAACUCAGGAGUUAAGGCCACAAAACUAUUUCAUUCCAUCCAGGAAGAGCACAUACCAACCGCUGAAACUUCCUUAGCCUGACAAAGGGUUUUUGAACCCAAAAGCUUGCUUAAUAAUUAUUUUCCAACUAUUUGGGUUGGUCUAAUAAAAGAUACCAGAUUCACCCAAGGAACCUUGUCAGCCACAAAACUAGGCAUCCGACCUGGCGUGGAAAGGGGCAGGGUGUAGAGGGUAAGAAGCCCUGAGAAGUGGACUGCCCUCAGCCAGGUGGAUUUUUGCCCCUUUUCAUAACAUUCAACCUCCAUCUAACAUUGAACAACCAGUCGUGGCAGGAAAAGUGAAGCUGGGGUGGAGACCCGGUAAGCCUGGAGAAAUUUACACUCCCCAUUAGAAAAAAUAUUCUUUUGGUUUUCAGCUUGGCCAAACUUCAGUCACUUAGACUAGCAUUUUCCAUGAGAAGUGUCUGCCUCAGCCUGACUUUGUAUUUUUUAAAGUUUCAGCUAAAAUAAAUUAGCCAUUUUCACA